rnacentral:rRNA from 1 species
UACGUAGGGUGCGAGCGUUAAUCGGAAUUACUGGGCGUAAAGCGUGCGCAGGCGGUUUUGUAAGUCAGAUGUGAAAUCCCCGGGCUUAACCUGGGAACUGCGUUUGAAACUACGAGGCUAGAGUGUAGCAGAGGGGGGUGGAAUUCCACGUGUAGCAGUGAAAUGCGUAGAGAUGUGGAGGAACACCGAUGGCGAAGGCAGCCCCCUGGGUUAACACUGACGCUCAGGCACGAAAGCGUGGGGAGCAAACAGG